GCUGGGGCUCAGCGGUACAGAGCUCGCCUAGCACGUUCGAGGUCCUGAGUUCAAUCCUCAGCACCA
rnacentral:tRNA from 1 species